rnacentral:rRNA from 1 species
CCCUUAGAUGUUCUGGGCCGCACGCGCGCUACACUGAUGCACUCAACGAGUCUCCACCUUGACCGAAAGGUCCGGGAAACCUUCGAACUUGCAUCGUGAUGGGGAUAGAUUAUUGCAACUAUUAAUCUUCAACGAGGAAUACCUAGUAAGCGCAUGUCAUCAGCUUGCAUUGAUUACGUCCCUGCCCUUUGUACACACCGCCCGUCGCACCUACCGAUUGAAUGGUCCGGUGAAAUCUCGGGACGGCGGCUUGGUCGCUUGCGUCCGACUGCUGAAACUUGAUUAAACCAUAUCAUUUAGAGGAAGGUGAAGUCGUAACA